CUUUUCUUUCGAGUUUUGCAGCAAGCCCAGGAUGCAGGAUUUUCAAAGGAAAGAGCACUUAGCAGCCAAAAAGCCUCUCAAUCCCUAUUGGCUUUUGCGCCAAAAGUCUGACUCAGGACUGUCACUGACAUGUUAAAGCAUCAUCUCAAGAGCUGGGUGUUUUGAGUUCAUUUGCCAGGACUGUGCAUUUGUUUUCUCUGUGAUGUCGAAGAGCAAGAAUUUGGGAACUGUCAGGAGAAGGAACAAACAGAAGUGUUUAUAAUAAGGAAACAUAAUAAGGAAAAAUACUGUCCCCGAAGCAGUGAUACAACUUUUGUGGCAUGACUCAGUUCUAGCACCUAGGUCAUCCCCAUCCAGAUGCGUUUGGAGAGCUGAGCACAGCAAUGUGUAGAAGGAUUUCAUGGACCCACAGGGUGAUGCCAAGGAGGUAAUUACGGCCUUGCUCAUCACUAUGCCUUCCCCCAGUGGUACUUGAAAGUUA